GCCCGUGUAGCUCAGUUGGUCAGAGCAACCGCCUUGUAAGCGGUAGGUCGUGGGUUCGACUCCCACCGCGGGCU
rnacentral:tRNA from 1 species